UGGGGAAUCUUGCACAAUGGGGGAAACCCUGAUGCAGCGACGCCGCGUGAACGAUGAAGCCCUUCGGGGUGUAAAGUUCUUUCGACAGGAACGAUAAUGACGGUACCUGGAGAAGAAGAUGCGGUUAACUACGUGCCAGCAGCCGCGGUAAUACGUAGGCAGCGAGCGUUGUUCGGAGUUACUGGGCGUAAAGAGUGCGUAGGCGGCGAGCCAAGUUUGGUGUGAAAUCUCCCGGCUUAACCGGGAGGGUGCGCCGAAAACUGGUUGGCUGGAGUAUGGGAGAGGAAAGCGGAAUUCCUGGUGUAGCGGUGAAAUGCGUAGAUAUCAGGAGGAACACCUGCGGUGUAGACAGCUUUCUGGACCAAAACUGACGCUGAGGCACGAAAGCGUGGGUAGCAAACA
rnacentral:rRNA from 1 species